rnacentral:rRNA from 1 species
ACACGUAGGGGCCUGACGUUGUUCGGAAUCAUUGGGCGUAAAGGGCGCGCAGGCGGCCGUCCAAGUCCGGUGUUAAAUGGUCGGGCUCAACCCGAUCAUGCGCUGGAAACUGGGCGGCUUGAGUCCCGUAGGGGAUGCCGGAAUUCCAGGUGGAGGGGGGAAAUCUGUAGAUAUCUGGAAGAACACCGAUGGCGAAGGCAGGCAUCUGGCCGGAGACUGACGCUGAGGCGCGAAGGCGCGGGGAGCGAACAGGUUUAGAUACCCUGGUAGUCCGCGCAGUAAACGAUGCGCACCAGGUGUCGGGCGGCAGCGCCCGGUACCGGAGCUAACGCGAUGAGUGCGCCGCCUGGGGAGUAUGCCCGCAAGUAUGAAACUCAAAGGAAUUGACGGGG